UCAUAAACAGAAAAUAUUAACUAAAAAGAUAUGUAUACAAAUACAGCAUGUUUUCACGGGCAAAUUUUGAUUUCUAAAAUUAGAUAACAAAGAAAAAUCAUAUGAACAUGAUUAAUAUACAAAAGCGUUAUUAACGUAUUAAAUAUUUAUUUUUAUUUUUUUUUUAUACAAGGGUAUUUGUAAAGUCACUCAUCACGUUUCACACUGUAGAGUCUGACGUGCCGCUGCCGCUGUCGCAACUUCCUCAUCGCUCCUUUACUCUCGCAAGUAAGAUACAGUCUACAUUAUAUAUCAUAGUUUUUAAAUAUACUAUAAUAUAGUAUAGGAUUGUCCCAGAAUUAAUAGUAGAAAAAAGAGGCAUUUUCUAUACGUCAAAAUAAGAUAAAAUUGUCCUGUGAACAUGUGUCCGAAAACGCAUCUCCUCUGAGUUACAGCCCCCCAAAGUUGCUCGAAAAAACUCAAGUUUAGACAAUAUACAGAAAAUUCGACUUUUUUCGGGAAAUUUUGGGUGCUGUAACUCAGAAGGGGUGCGUUUCCGGACACAUGUUCAUAGGACAAUUUUAUCUUAUUUUGAUCUGUAGAAUAUGCCACUUUUUUCUACUAUCAAUUUUGGGACAUCUUGUAUAUCCAUAUCUUAUAAAUAAUCCUUAUUCUUAUAGAUCCAUCUUAUAAAUUAUUUAAAAUGGCAAGUUCCAUAGAGCAAAUUAACAUACAAUUAGCAAUAGGAAAUACGUACAACGCGGGGCUAAUAAAAUUACACAAACAACACAUAGACGAAAUGAAACAUCAAAGACUACAACUCGAAAAAACAUACGUACAUAAAAUAAAAAAACUGGAGAAACAAUUAGAUAAGUUAUAACUGCCAAAAAAAGGAAAAAUUUCAAGCAGUGCAUUUUAAAAUUAUACAAUUAAAUCGGAUCAUCCGGCAUCUCCAAAAAAAAUAGUGUUUAAUUUAAAAAAAAUAAUUUUCUAUGUAGAUAGAAUAAAAUAUAAAAUAUAUAUGUAUUAAAUAUAUUUCUUACAAGCGAACACAUCAAGAAAGACCCUCCUUAGAAGUCUGGGGCAUUGUUCAAAUAAUGCAAUGAAUAAAGAAUUUUAAAAAAGAUUCGACAACAUAGAAGAUUCUGAUGACAAGAACUCAACCAGUUUAAAUAACGGAAAUUCCGCUCGAUAAGAGAAGAUAGGAAAAUAAUAUCGACGACGGCAUAAAUAGACGAGCCUCCAAGAACCAACUUCAAUGAACAAAUCUAUAAUAAACGCAUUUAUAAUGGACGCAUCACAAUUGUGUAAAUGAUGCGAUGAAUAAAGUAUUUCAAAAAAGAUUGGAAGAUUCUAAUGACGAGAAUUCAACCAGUUUAAAUAAUGAAAAUUCCGCUCGCAUGAUAAGAGAAGAUAGGGAAAUAUAUAAUUUAAAUAUAAUGAAAUAAUGGAAACGUUUUAAAAAAAAAAGAUUUUAUAAUUAUAUAAAAAACUAAUUUUUUUUAAAUUCCAGAUCGACGACGGUACAAAUAGACGAGCCUCCAAGAACCAACUUCAAUGAAUAAAUUUAUAAUAAACACAUCUAUAACGGACAUAUCUAUAAUGGACGUAUCACAAUUGUAUAAAUGAUGCGGUGAAUAAGGAAUUUCAAAAAAGAUUGGACUACAUAGAAGAUUCUGAUGACAAGAACUCAACCAGUUUAAAUAACGAAAAUUCCGCUCGCAUAAUAACAGAAGGUAUGGAAAUAUAUAAUUAAAAUAAUGAAGUAAUUGUAAUACGUCUGAAAAAAAAAAAAAA